GAGGGGUGUCGUACGUGGCCUGGAGAGAGCAUUUGGAAAGCUGCUGAGUGGCAGGCUCCAGGCCACCUGUACCUCUGGCAAUCACGGCCUGACUCUCCCAUCCCAUUACCUGAGCCUUCCCCCAUCACUAAGGGAGAAGGAGAUCACAACAUGCAAUGGGAGCAUCCCUCUUCUGUUCUUGAUUCUAUAUGAUGACAUUGGUGCUCCUUAUCCGGAUGAUUGGAUGGAAACUGCUUUUGUGCCUCAGGGGAAACCCAGAGGCUGUCUUGGUGGAUUACCAGAGCGAAGUCCUGUCCCUGAGCCUGCGGUGGAUGCCAGAGGUGUGAGUGGAGUUGAGUGGGAUCCAGCUUCCCAGCUGAGCUUCAGGACCGAAGCCCCAGCAACUCGUAUGGGUCCUGAGAGAUUGAGAAAGACACGGGAAAGAGGAAAAUAUCCCCAGACGCUGUCCCAUAUGCUAAUGAAAAUCAUGAAGGACAAGGCAGCGCAUGAGACAGACAUAGAGCCUGUGCACAGGGAUGCAUUUCAGCAAGGCAGCCAUCGCACACUGCCCGUCCCUCUGGGAGAAACAGAGGCCACACACACAACUGGCGCUCCAGGUGUGGAUGGUGAAGGACAUGCAAAUGCCACAGAAGAUGAAGAUCUACUGAAGUACUGCCUUGCACUUACUGCGGCUCUCCUGGUUUCCAUGCUGGCAGCGAUGAUUACGUUCUGUCUUGUUAUCCGGCGAUGUAGGCAGAGAAACCAGCACCUUGCUGCAGCUGCUGGAGCCUGGCCCGAUGCCCACGGCCACAACUCGCACUUGGAUGGACAGCCUGCUCUCCUCAAGGUGCCCGACCGACAGACACGGCAUGGACAGCCACCACCUGUGCAGGGACAACCUGCCCUCCUGCCGCAGAGCACCACCAGAGCAGACUCCGCUGGGCCAGACAGCUGCCAGGCUCAGUUGCCCCCGCCUCAGACUCCACGGCCCACCAGCCCAGGCUCCGAGGCCCCCGGGAUGUGUGACAGGCCUAGCAGCCCCCAGGCAUCAACACCGCCCCCCCGUCCCCCUCCACCCUCUUUCAUGGGAUGGAAGAAACCUGCCCGAUUUGGAGGCUUGUGGUCAUCGGUCAGCACCCAAACAACGGCUCCCUGGCCUAUGAGCGACAGGCCCAGCUGUCCCUGGACAUCAACACCACCCCCCCGUCCUCCUCCACCAUCCUUCAGGGAACGGGAACAGCUUCCCCAGGCUGUAGGCUUGACAGCACGGCCCAGUCAACAGACAAUGGGUGCCCAGGGAAGGCACAACAGGCCCAGCAUCCCCCUGUCCACCCAGGCACCGUCACCACCCUCUCACUACCCUCCACAAACCUUCAGGGGAAAGGAGUUGCCCCGCCAGGGUGUAGGCUUGGGGAAAUUUUCCGACAGAUGGACAACUGUGUCCUGGGGGAAGUAUGACAGGCCCAGCAGCCCCCAGUCCCCCCCCCCACCAGCUCUGCCCUCCCCCUCCUCUCCACCAUCCAUCAGGAGGUGGGAGCGGUCCCCCCCAGGGGGUAGAGUUAGGGGCAUCAUGCAACAUCUGUAAAACCACUGCCAGGAGGAAGUAUGACAGACCCAGCAGCACCCAGCCCCCCCCAGCAUCAUCUCUGUCCUCACACUCCUCUCCACCAUUGGUCAGGAGGUGGGAGCACCCCUGGCAUGUGGGUUUAGGGGCAUCAUCUGACAGCCAGAGAACUGCUGCUGGCAUUGACUGGGACUUUCCAGGCUGUGUUGUACCAAUAAGCAGAAAGUAAUACCACAGUUGUCUAUGCUGUACUGUUGUCAUGUUACUACUUUGACCCACUGCCAGACCUUGUGUGCCACUUGGCAUUGGCAGACAGAUAAUAUGUGUGGGAAUGGCUUUAAACUCAAAGAGAGAAAAUUGAGGUAGAUGUGUAGAGGUCAGAGGCAGCAAGGCCUGGCCCAGGGUGCCCAGAGGCUGUGGGUGCCCUGCAUCCUGUCGGAGGAAGGGACAGGGGUGGGAGUACAUUAUGCAAAAGUGCCAGUGCUUCUGCAUGAGGUUUACCAGACAGCAGGCACUGUUCUGCUCUGACUAGUGGGCAAUAAGUUGCUCUGCAAUAGGAACCAAGCAAGAACUGUUAGCACAUUUUCUUCCUCCUCCAUUUCAUUUUGCUCUGUGGGCUGGACUGAGAAUCUGAAAGCGGAGAGAGAUGGGAUGAAGACAGUGCUGCAAGCCUCGUAAAUCUGUUGUCACUGCUCACUCUGUGAUAAGUCGUCUUAUCAGAAGCACAGUCCAUUGUGCUCAGCUGCCAUGAUACCACCCUGCAACUCCUCUCCAGCACCUGUUCUAGGUCACUGAUACCUCAGAAUCGUUCAGGAGGUGCAACAUUCCUGUGUUUUCUCUCAGCUCUUAGCACUGCUGCACUCCUCAGGAGCUAUGGCCACAAACAAAGCAGCUGUCAGUCAGCUGUAAAAGCAUCCCGGUCCUCUGCAAGAGGACAGAGUGUUCCGGUUCUGACAGCUUCCCUCAGCAGCCCAAUAUUGAAAUGGUUUGUGGAGUUCCUUUGUGCAAGCUGCUAAGGACA
ensembl:lncRNA